rnacentral:rRNA from 1 species
GACGAACGCUGGCGGCGUGCUUAACACAUGCAAGUCGAGCGGUAAGGCCCUUUCGGGGGUACACGAGCGGCGAACGGGUGAGUAACACGUGGGUGACCUGCCCUCAGCUCUGGGAUAAGCCUGGGAAGCCGGGUCUAAUACUGGAUAUGACUCCAUGACGCAUGUUGUGGGGUGGAAAGCCUUGUGCGGCUGAGGAUGGGCCCGCGGCCUAUCAGCUUGUUGGUGGGGNGAUGGCCUACCAAGGCGACGACGGGUAGCCGGCCUGGGAGGGCGACCGGCCACACUGGGACUGAGACACGGCCCAGACUCCUACGGGAGGCAGCAGUGGGGAAUCUUGCGCAAUGGGCGAAAGCCUGACGCAGCGACGCCGCGUGAGGGAU